ACCCAAAUGCUAAAGUAAGCAAGAAAGCAAGACAGUUCACGUACAGCUUUCAGGCUAUGGAAAUGAUGAAGGUGAAAACAGGAUCUCCAUUUUAUUUAAAGAACACAGGCUACCAGAAUUAUUUUGAUGCAUUUGUAGAAAAGAAAUCUAACUACCUCGAAGAAGAUACCCCGGUUAAAGAAAGUGCAAUGAAUCAGGUUUUGCCAUAUAUUCUUUUUCUUGUUUCUCCUAUUUUUAUGGUACUACUUAUUGCUGUUCGGAAAGGAAUAUAAAUCUUUUUCUUGUUGGUAUACAAGUCCCAUUUUUUUUUCUUUUAUAUUGUCAAAUGUCAAUGAUCAAGUCCUCCAAACAGAAAAGAAUUCUUCCAGUUUGGACAACUUCAUUCGAUUUUGAUGCAAGAUAAUCUCUACGUUUGUAUAGGGUGUAGGCAUAUAGGACUGGGUAGAUUGUAAAUGUAAGAAUCGUGCAAGUACCUCUCUUUUUCAGAAAUAUUGUCAGGAUCCUGACUCUCGUAGUUUUAUGCAGAGGACUUUUCUGCCAGAGUAUUAUUAUUUUUUGAUUGAGGAAAAAUGACAAAAAGAAAAAGGAACACUCCAUGAUACGUGUGUUUGGUCC